AUUGAACGCUGGCGGCAGGCCUAACACAUGCAAGUCGAGCGGAUGACGGGAGCUUGCUCCUUGAUUCAGCGGCGGACGGGUGAGUAAUGCCUAGGAAUCUGCCUGGUAGUGGGGGACAACGUUUCGAAAGGAACGCUAAUACCGCAUACGUCCUACGGGAGAAAGCAGGGGACCUUCGGGCCUUGCGCUAUCAGAUGAGCCUAGGUCGGAUUAGCUAGUUGGUGGGGUAAUGGCUCACCAAGGCGACGAUCCGUAACUGGUCUGAGAGGAUGAUCAGUCACACGGGAACUGAGACACGGUCCAGACUCCUACGGGAGGAAGCAGUGGGGAAUAUUGGACAAUGGGCGAAAGCCUGAUCCAGCCAUGCCGCGUGUGUGAAGAAGGUCUUCGGAUUGUAAGGCACUUUAAGUUGGGAGGAAGGGCAGUAAGCUAAUACCUUGCUGUUUUGACGUUACCGACAGAAUAAGCACCGGCUAACUCUGUGCCAGCCGCCGCUGUAAUAC
rnacentral:rRNA from 1 species